rnacentral:rRNA from 1 species
AGAGUUUGAUCCUGGCUCAGAUUGAACUCUGGCUGCAGGCUUAACACAUCACAUGUCGACGCCGUACACACUAAGGAGCUUGCUCCCCGGGUGACGAGCGGCGGACGGGUGAGUAAUGUUGGGAAUCUGCCUGAUGGAGGGGGAUAACUUCUGGAAACGGUAGCUAAUACCGCAUAACGUCGCAAGACCAAAGCGGGGGAUCUUCGGGCCUCUUGCCAUCAGAUGUGCCCAGAUGGGAUUAGCUAGUAGGUGGGGUAAUGGCUCACCUAGGCGACGAUCCCUAGCUGGUCUGAGAGGAUGAUCAGCCACACUGGAACUGAGACACGGUCCAGACUCCUACGGGAGGCAGCAGUGGGGAAUAUUGCACAAUGGGCGCAAGCCUGAUGCAGCCAUACCGCGUGUGUGAAGAAGGCCUUCGGGUUGUAAAGCACUUUCAGCGAGAGAGGAAGGUGGUGAGCUUAAUAC